GUCAUAACGGCGACCGUGAAGACUUUUAAAAUAGAGACCAACAUGGCCGGGCAGGAAGAGCAGGGUCCCGCCUUCAGGUGUUUGCGACUCAGCUGAGGGUGUGGGUGCCCUGCGGUGGGGGCUGAAUCUUCCUGGAGUGUGGAGAGACGAAAGGCGCCCGGAUCCAAGUUCCCUCGUUCCCGCUUUUGCACAAGUUGCCCUGGCGGUCUCAUGAGAGAGAGAGAGAGCUGGGACGCUCCUCGCCCCAGUGAGUGUGAUGUCUUGCUCCGGGUGUCCUGGGGCAACUUUCUAUAAAGGCGGGACGUGGGAGGAGCAGACAGUGUAACAUCAGACAAGGGUGUUAACUCCGCAGCACAGAACCAGUGGUUUGUGGAGAAGAACAAGGUGUGGUGUUGAAUCUGCUAGACAGGCUACUGAAGCAAAAGUCAAGAGAUCCAGGUCCCAUCAUGGGGACACUUUAGUUCUUCAUCGGGUAAUUGAACUGAUAUCAGGUGUCUGAAGGAGGCAAGUUUUGAAGAUGUGGGUCAUGAUGGCUGCUGAAGCUUCCACUCCAUAUUUGAAGGUCAGCAGUUCUUAGGAAACCUCUAGCACUUCCAUCUCUGGUGGGAUAUGAUGCCUGUCUCAGUGUUCCUUGGCUAGCCUGGUUACCAUGGUGACUCCGUGACUCUUAUGGGAUUUAGCGUAGAG